rnacentral:rRNA from 1 species
GACGAACGCUGGCGGCGUGCUUAACACAUGCAAGUCGAGCGGUAAGGCCCUUUCGGGGGUACACGAGCGGCGAACGGGUGAGUAACACGUAGGUGACCUGCCCUCAGCUCUGGGAUAAGCCUGGGAAACCGGGUCUAAUACUGGAUAUGACUCCAUGACGCAUGUUGUGGGGUGGAAAGCCUUGUGCGGCUGAGGAUGGGCCCGCGGCCUAUCAGCUUGUUGGUGGGGUGANGGCCUACCAAGGCGACGACGGGUAGCCGGCCUGAGAGGGCGACCGGCCGACACUGGGACUGAGACACGGCCCAGACUCCUACGGGAGGCAGCAGUGGGGAAUCUUGCGCAAUGGGCGAAAGCCUGACGCAGCGACGCCGCGUGAGGGAUGACGGCCUCGG